UGGUCCUACGGGGCGCAGCAGUGGGGAAUAUUGCACAAUGGGGGGAACCCUGAUGCAGCAAUGCCGCGUGAAGGAUGAAGGUUUUCGGAUUGUAAACUUCUUUUGUACGGGACGAAGAAAGUGACGGUACCGUAAGAAUAAGCCACGGCUAACUACGUGCCAGCAGCCGCGGUAAUACGUAGGUGGCAAGCGUUAUCCGGAUUUACUGGGUGUAAAGGGCGAGUAGGCGGGAUUGCAAGUCAGAUGUGAAAACUAUGGGCUCAACCGAUAGAGUGCAUUAGAAACUGUUAGUCUAGAGGAUGGGG
rnacentral:rRNA from 1 species